UCAAGUUUUCCUGAUUUAUCAACUUAGACUUUAAACAGAGUAUGAUGUGUCAUCCUACUAAUAAACGUGAUUUUGUUAUUCCAAAUUGACCCAUCUUUUUUUUGUUAAAAAGACUCUGUAAACCUAUGCUACAUAAUUUCUUUGAAAUGAGCCUUUUACACAAAAAUAAAAGUGAAUUGCAAAACAAAGUAUCAACUACAUUAGAAGUCAUGCAAUUUGUCUAAAACAUUAUAUUUUGAAAAAUAAUCUGAUUUAAUGAGCAUAAUUUUAAAAUGCGGAAAUUACAAUUAUUUAAUAGUUCAAAACCAUUUUUCUUCCUUACAAUGAGUGAUCAGUAAAC
rnacentral:lncRNA from 1 species